AGGGAAGCGAGUGGCGAACGGCUGAGUAACACGUGGAGAACCUGCCGAUGACUCGGGGAUAGCCUUUCGAAAGAAAGAUUAAUACCCGAUGGCAUAGUUCUUCCGCAUGGUGGAACUAUUAAAGAAUUUCGGUCAUCGAUGGGGAUGCGUUCCAUUAGGUUGUUGGCGGGGUAACGGCCCACCAAGCCUUCGAUGGAUAGGGGUUCUGAGAGGAAGGUCCCCCACAUUGGAACUGAGACACGGUCCAAACUCCUACGGGAGGCAGCAUG
rnacentral:rRNA from 1 species